UAUGUCUUACACACAAGUGUCAAAAUAUAGUAGAAGACAUAGAAAAUGUUUAGAUUAUGAUUAAAAUAUCACAAAACUUUGUGACAUAAAUCAUAAUCCAAGCCUUUUAACAAAAAAAAAAAAAAAAGACAUAAAUCAUAAUCCAUAUGCAUCCAAGUUCUAAUAAUAGGUCGACUCUAUCUUGUAAAAAAAACUUUAAUUAAAUAGUAAAGGAUAUUGUAUUGAAUUUUGAGAUAUUUUUCUCUCACUAUAAAAGGAAGAAUUGUGUAGAGAUCAUAAGAGCCCAAUCAAACAUAUCUGAUAUACUUGUAUUGUUUACUCUAAGAUUUGCGAAGGUUAUAACUCUUAAGGGACAUUAAUGGGAAACUGGUGUAGUUGUGUAACUAAAGAUGAAAGUAGUGAUAAUACUAGCAGCUCUCAAACUUCUACGGAUAAAGAAAGUACUGAGCAAGUUUCUUCUGUGAGUGAUGGGUCUUCUUCACAGAUUUCAUCUGAUAGUUCUUCUUCAAAAUGAUCAUCUCAAAGUUCCAAUGAUGGAAUGGAAGCGUAAUUAGUGAGCAAGAGUCUGAUGGAUCUUCUUCAUCUUAUCGAUCGAAAAUAUCUCCUAAAUAAAUAACUUUCUAUGUCAAUCUUCAUAUUAGAAGAAACUU